rnacentral:rRNA from 1 species
UACGUAGGGUGCAAGCGUUGUCCGGAAUUAUUGGGCGUAAAGAGCUUGUAGGCGGUUUGUCGCGUCUGCUGUGAAAUUUCGGGGCUCAACCCCGAACUUGCGGUGGGUACGGGCAGACUAGAGUGUGGUAGGGGAGACUGGAAUUCCUGGUGUAGCGGUGAAAUGCGCAGAUAUCGGGAGGAACACCAGUAGCGAAGGCGGCACUCUGGGCCGGUACUGACGCUGAGGAGCGAAAGCGUGGGGAGCGAACAGG